rnacentral:rRNA from 1 species
AUUGAACGCUGGCGGCAUGCUUUACACAUGCAGGUCGAACGGCAGCGCGGGCUUCGGCCUGGCGGCGAGUGGCGAACGGGUGAGUAAUACAUCGGAACGUGCCCAGUAGUGGGGGAUAGCUCGGCGAAAGCCGGAUUAAUACCGCAUACGACCUGAGGGUGAAAGCGGGGGAUCUUCGGACCUCGCGCUAUUGGAGCGGCCGAUGGCAGAUUAGCUAGUUGGUGGGGUAAAGGCCUACCAAGGCGACGAUCUGUAUCUGGUCUGAGAGGACGACCAGCCACACUGGGACUGAGACACGGCCCAGACUCCUACGGGAGGCAGCAGUGGGGAAUUUUGGACAAUGGGCGAAAGCCUGAUCCAGCAAUGCCGCGUGUGUGAUGAAGGCCUUCGGGCUGUAAAGCACUUUUGGCGGGAACGAAAAGGACUGUGCCAAUACCACGGUUCGAUGACGGUACCCGCAGAAUAAGCACCGGCUAACUACGUG